CCUACGUGCGGCUGCAGUGAGUAAUAUUGGUCAAUGGACGAGAGUCUGAACCAGCCAAGUAGCGUGAAGGAUGACUGCCCUAUGGGUUGUAAACUUCUUUUAUAUGGGAAUAAAAUGUUCCACGUGUGGGAUUUUGUAUGUAACAUAUGAAUAAGGAUCGGCUAACUCCGUGCCAGCAGCCGCGGUAAUACAGAGGAUCCGAGCGUUAUCAGGAUUUAUUGGGUUUAAAGGGAGCGUAGGUGGAUUGUUAAGUCAGUUGUGAAAGUGUGCGGCUCAAACGUAAAAUUGCAGUUGAAACUGGCAGUCUUGAGUACAGUAGAGGUGGGCUGAAUUCGUUGUGUAGCGGUGAAAUGCUUAGAUAUCACGAAGAACUCCGAUUGCGAAGGCAGUUCACUGGACUGCAACUGACACUGAGGCUCGAAAGUGUGGGUAUCAAACAGGAUUAGAUACCCGUGUAGUC
rnacentral:rRNA from 1 species